CUGAAACGUAUUCUUAAUAAGUACUGUGUUUACCGGACAGCAAAGGGCCUCGAAAAGCAUCCAAUCUUCGUGUCUGCAUUACGGGCGAAAUGUUGAAUCGCAUUCAGAGCAUCUCGUCUUCGCUGGGCUGAAGGCGCACCUCCAUUUUUCGCAGCCGGGAAUGAAGCUCUCUGGUGUGCAGGAAGAGAAACAGCGUGCUGGAAAUCGCUAUGAGCGCGAUCAGUUCGAUGGUCCUGGAAAUAAGAACUGCAGUGAGAACAACUGGCGAUUUGAUUGGUUCGUCGGGCACGAUGGAAAUCAAAAUCGUAAAGAUGUAAUUGAAGUUUAACUGUAGAUUUAGAAACAAUGAAAGAUGGAAGAGAAUUUUAUUAUGGAACGUC